UCCCUUAGAUGUUCUGGGCCGCACGCGCGCUACACUGAUGCAUUCAACGAGUUCCUACCUUGGCCGAGAGGCCUGGGCAAUCUUUUGAACUUGCAUCGUGAUAGGGAUAGAUUAUUGCAAUUAUUAAUCUUGAACGAGGAAUUCCUAGUAAACGCAGAUCAUCAAUCUGCAUUGAUUACGUCCCUGCCCUUUGUACACACCGCCCGUCGCACCUACCGAUUGAAUGGUCCGGUGAAGCCUCGGGAUUGUGGUUAGUUUCCUUCAUUGGAAGUUAGCCGCGAGAACUUGUCUAAACCUUAUCAUUUAGAGGAAGGUGAAGUCGUAACA
rnacentral:rRNA from 1 species